rnacentral:rRNA from 1 species
GACGAACGCUGGCGGCGUGCUUAACACAUGCAAGUCGAACGAUGAAGCGCCAGCUUGCUGGUGUGGAUUAGUGGCGAACGGGUGAGUAACACGUGAGUAACCUGCCCCCUACUCUGGGAUAAGCCUGGGAAACUGGGUCUAAUACUGGAUAUGACCAAUCACUGCAUGGUGUGUUGGUGGAAAGAUUUUUUGGUGGGGGAUGGACUCGCGGCCUAUCAGCUUGUUGGUGGGGUAAUGGCCUACCAAGUCGACGACGGGUAGCCGGCCUGAGAGGGCGACCGGCCACACUGGGACUGAGACACGGACCAGACUCCUACGGGACGCAGCAGUGGGGAAUAUUGCACAAUGGGCGAAAGCCUGAUGCAGCGACGCCGCGUGAGGGAUGACGGCCUUCGGGUUGUAAACCUCUUUCACCAGGGACGAAGCUAACGUGACGGUACCUGGAGAAGAAGCACCGGCUAACUACGUG